CCUACGGGUGGCAGCAGUGAGGAAUAUUGGUCAAUGGGCGGAAGCCUGAACCAGCCAAGUAGCGUGCAGGAUGACGGCCCUACGGGUUGUAAACUGCUUUUAUACGGGAAUAACGCGCCUUACGUGUAGGGCCUUGCAUGUACCGUAUGAAUAAGGACCGGCUAAUUCCGUUCCAGCAGCCGCGGUAAUACGGAAGGUCCGGGCGUUAUCCGGAUUUGUUGGGUUUAAAGGGAGCGUAGGCGGAAUGUCAAGUCAGCUGUGAAAGGUCCGGGCUCAACCCGGGCCUUGCAGUGGAAACUGGCGUGCUGGAGUCCGCGGGAGGCAGGCGGAAUUCGUGGUGUAGCGGUGAAAUGCUUAGAUAUGACGAAGAACCCCGAGGGCGAAGGCAGCUUGCUGCAGCGGAACUGACGCUGAUGCGCGAAAGCGCGGGUAUCGAACAGGAUUAGAUACCCGAGUAGUC
rnacentral:rRNA from 1 species